rnacentral:snRNA from 1 species
AGCUUUGCACAGUGGCAGUAUCAUAGCCAGUGAGGUUUAUCUGAGGCACGAUUAUUGCUAAUUGAAAACUUUUCCCAAUACCCUGCCACGAUGACUGGAAAUACAGUCGGCAUUGGCAAUUAUUGGCAGUCUCUACAGGGA